UGCCUAAUACAUGCAAGUCGAGCGAACAGAUGAGAAGCUUGCUUCUCUGAUGUUAGCGGCGGACGGGUGAGUAACACGUGGGUAACCUACCUAUAAGACUGGGAUAACUCCGGGAAACCGGGGCUAAUACCGGAUAAUAUUUUGAACCGCAUGGUUCAAUAGUGAAAGACGGUUUCGGCUGUCACUUAUAGAUGGACCCGCGCCGUAUUAGCUAGUUGGUAAGGUAAUGGCUUACCAAGGCGACGAUACGUAGCCGACCUGAGAGGGUGAUCGGCCACACUGGAACUGAGACACGGUCCAGACUCCUACGGGAGGCAGCAGUAGGGAAUCUUCCGCAAUGGGCGAAAGCCUGACGGAGCAACGCCGCGUGAGUGAUGAAGGUCUUCGGAUCGUAAAACUCUGUUGUUAGGGAAGAACAAAUUUGUUAGUAACUGAACAAGUCUUGACGGUACCUAACCAGAAAGCCACGGCUAACUACGUGCCAGCAGCCGCGGUAAUACGUAGGUGGCAAGCGUUAUCCGGAAUUAUUGGGCGUAAAGCGCGCGUAGGCGGUUUCUUAAGUCUGAUGUGAAAGCCCACGGCUCAACCGUGGAGGGUCAUUGGAAACUGGGAAACUUGAGUGCAGAAGAGGAGAGUGGAAUUCCAUGUGUAGCGGUGAAAUGCGCAGAGAUAUGGAGGAACACCAGUGGCGAAGGCGGCUCUCUGGUCUGUAACUGACGCUGAUGUGCGAAAGCGUGGGGAUCAAACAGGAUUAGAUACCCUGGUAGUCCACGCCGUAAACGAUGAGUGCUAAGUGUUAGGGGGUUUCCGCCCCUUAGUGCUGCAGCUAACGCAUUAAGCACUCCGCCUGGGGAGUACGACCGCAAGGUUGAAACUCAAAGGAAUUGACGGGGACCCGCACAAGCGGUGGAGCAUGUGGUUUAAUUCGAAGCAACGCGAAGAACCUUACCAAAUCUUGACAUCCUUUGACCGCUCUAGAGAUAGAGUCUUCCCCUUCGGGGGACAAAGUGACAGGUGGUGCAUGGUUGUCGUCAGCUCGUGUCGUGAGAUGUUGGGUUAAGUCCCGCAACGAGCGCAACCCUUAAGCUUAGUUGCCAUCAUUAAGUUGGGCACUCUAGGUUGACUGCCGGUGACAAACCGGAGGAAGGUGGGGAUGACGUCAAAUCAUCAUGCCCCUUAUGAUUUGGGCUACACACGUGCUACAAUGGAUAAUACAAAGGGCAGCGAAUCCGCGAGGCCAAGCAAAUCCCAUAAAAUUAUUCUCAGUUCGGAUUGUAGUCUGCAACUCGACUACAUGAAGCUGGAAUCGCUAGUAAUCGUAGAUCAGCAUGCUACGGUGAAUACGUUCCCGGGUCUUGUACACACCGCCCGUCACACCACGAGAGUUUGUAACACCCGAAGCCGGUGGAGUAACCUUUUAGGAGCUAGCCGUCGAA
rnacentral:rRNA from 1 species